CAUAUUUCAGCUCUUCGACAAAUAAAGCCGACGCGUAAUGCGAUAAAGAGCGUCACGCUUCUCACCUAAUAAGAGAUGUGUUUGGACCACACAGAGCUCUGGGACGUGUGGACAGACAUUCGCUGUAAUGAAGGACAUCUGCUCAUGGACAGAAGCAUAACCGCUGCUGGACAUUGCUCUGGGACUCAGGGGGGGACCCGAAUCAUCCUCACCCCUUCAUUCACACAACACUCACUCAUAUCGCAGAGAUCUGGCUGGGAUCGAACCAGCAACCUCUGAACCAUGAGGCAGUGCUCUUACCUGUGAGCCACAGAUCUCUUAUUUGAACAUGU